rnacentral:rRNA from 1 species
CAAAAACAUAGCUAUGUGAUAUUACUCAUAGUAUUUUCUGCUCAAUGAGUUCUUAAAUAGCCGCAGUACCCUGACUGUGCAAAGGUAGCGUAAUCAGUUGUCUUCUAAUUAAAGUCUCGUAUGAAAGAAUAUAUGGGGGCCCACUUUACCAGUGGUAGAAAAAGAAAUUAUUAAGUGAGUGCAAAUGCUCACGUUACUUAAAAGACGAGAAGACCCUAGAAAUUUUUAAUACUUUUUGUUGGGGCAACAUAGUACCAAGUAAUUUACUAUAUGUAUAUGAAAUAGGUUAGGAAGCGUAAAUUACUCUAGGGAUAACAGCAUAAUUUAUGAAAGUUUGUGACCUCGAUGUUGGAUUAGGAAGUUAUAACUUAAAAGGUUGUUAAUAUUGCUCUGUUCGAGCA